rnacentral:rRNA from 1 species
UCUUCGGGAUAGGUAGUAGUUAAGGUGAUGGCUUAACUAGCUUAAAAUUCUCGUAGUCGAAGCUGAAAGGUUGAUCGACCACAUUGGGUCUGAAAAAACCCCAAUGCAAGUUAGUACAGCAGUGAGGAAUCUUGGUCAAUGGCCUAACGGCUGAACUGGCAACUUGGAGAAGUGGCAAGUCUUAUUUUUGAUUAUAAUUUUAGAUAAUCUAUAAGAUUGUAUUAAAAUUGAAUAAAGCUUUGUUUAUAUAUUGAUAAUGACAAUAUAUAUAUCGUGUCUUGACUAAUUACGUGCCAGCAGUCGCGGUAAUACGUAAGAGACUAGUGUUAUUCAUCUUAAUUAGGUUUAAAGGGUACCUAGACGGUCAAUAUAGCUUCUAGAAUGUUAGUACUUGACUAGAGUUUGAUGUAAGGGGGCAGUACUUGAGGAGGAGAGAUGAAAUUCUAUUAUACCAAAGGGACUCGGUAAAGGCGAAGGCAGCCCUUUAUGUAAAAACUGACGUUGAAGGACGAAGGCACAGAGCACAAACAGGAUUAGAUACCCAAGUAGUCUUUGCAGUAAAUGAUGAAUGCCAUAGGUUUAGAUU